rnacentral:rRNA from 1 species
GGCUACCCAUCCCAUGCGCUGUUCAACCCUUUGUCUUUUGCGUACUGUAUGUUUCCUCGGCGGGUUCGCCCGCCGAUAGGACACUUCAAAACCUUUUGUAAUUGCAAUCAGCGUCAGAAAAACUAUAAUAGUUACAACUUUCAACAACGGAUCUCUUGGUUCUGGCAUCGAUGAAGAACGCAGCGAAAUGCGAAAAGUAGUGUGAAUUGCAGAAUUCAGUGAAUCAUCGAAUCUUUGAACGCACAUUGCGCCCCUUGGUAUUCCAUGGGGCAUGCCUGUUCGAGCGUCAUUUGUACCCUCAAGCUCUGCUUGGUGUUGGGUGUUUGUCCCGCCUCGCGCGUGGACUCGCCUUAAAGUCAUUGGCAGCCGGAAUAAUUCUGGGGAACGCAGCACAACUGCAGCCUCCAUUUUACGCCGAGCGUCCAGUAAGCCUUUUUUCAACGUUUGACCUCGGAUCAGGUAGGGAUACCCGCUGAACUUAAGCAUAUCAAA